rnacentral:rRNA from 1 species
CCCUUAGAUGUUCUGGGCCGCACGCGCGCUACACUGAUGAAUGCAACGAGCUCUACCCUUGCCCGAAAGGCCCGGGUAAACUUGUGAAACUUCAUCGUGAUGGGGAUAGAUUAUUGCAAUUAUUAAUCUUCAACGAGGAAUUCCUAGUAAGCGCGAGUCAUCAGCUCGCGUUGAUUACGUCCCUGCCCUUUGUACACACCGCCCGUCGCUCCUACCGAUUGAAUGGUCCGGUGAAAUCUUCGGAUUGCUGACCAAGAUCCAGCAAUGGAGCUUGGUUGCGAGAAGUUGAUUAAACCUUAUUAUUUAGAGGAAGGAGAAGUCGUAACA